UACAGAGGGUGCGAGCGUUAAUCGGAAUUACUGGGCGUAAAGCGCGCGUAGGCGGUUUUGUAAGCCAGAUGUGAAAUCCCCGGGCUCAACCUGGGAAUGGCAUUUGGGACUGCAAGGCUAGAGUGUGGCAGAGGAGACUGGAAUUCCCGGGUGUAGCAGUGAAAUGCGUAGAUAUCGGGAGGAAUGACCGAUGGCGAAGGCAGGUCUCUGGGCUGACAGCUGACGCUCAUGCACGAAAGCGUGGGGAGCAAACAGG
rnacentral:rRNA from 1 species